rnacentral:rRNA from 1 species
UACGAAGGGGGCUAGCGUUGCUCGGAAUCACUGGGCGUAAAGGGUGCGUAGGCGGGUCUUUAAGUCAGAGGUGAGAUCCUGGAGCUCAACUCCAGAACUGCCUUUGAUACUGAAAGUCUUGAGUAUGGGAGAGGUGAGUGGAACUGCGAGUGUAGAGGUGAAAUUCGUAGAUAUUCGCAAGAACACCAGUGGCGAAGGCGGCUCACUGGCCCAUAACUGACGCUGAGGCACGAAAGCGUGGGGAGCAAACAGG